CCAUAAAUGUUCCCAUAUCUAGAGCCAUGCCUUUGGUUCUAAACCACCCCAAGAAUCCAUAGUAAUUUUUGAACAUGUAUGCAUGUUGCCAAAUCUAAUUAUGUUUCUGGUGGCCCAUGUUACGUUUAACCCACAUGCCCCAUCCCAAUAAUUGCCCCACCCAAAGACCCAUCUAAUAAAUAUGCAAGCAUACCCUAGAACCCACAACUUGAAUCACGAACUACAACCCUAGUUCCCUCCCUCUCUCUUCUGUUUACGACAGUAGGAGGUAGAAGAUCCGCUGGUCGCUCUCUUCCUCCUCGGUACACUCUAUCUCACCGAGCUCUCUCUCCCUCUUCAUUACGGACGUGAUUGACUGGUUCCACCUUAUGUAUUUCUUUCCAUAACUUAAUCUGCCGAGCUAAUCUAAGGUCGUUAGGUACUUAGCAGGAGCUUGCAUAGGAGGUGUCGUUGUGGAGCAUGGACAUUGAGUGUUCAUGAUGAACUUAUGAACUUUUAAACUUAUGAUUUGGGUUUGAACUAUUUUCUUCCGCUGAUAACAUAGACUUGUUAAACUGUUUUGACACCAAUUAUAUUGGUUGGUUUGGACUUUUACUUAUUUAAUUAUAUUGUUCAAUAUGAUUGGUGGCUGGAUCCUGGUCAGUCACGCCUCCUGCUGUGAUACUCCGCUUGUGGAUUUUGGGGGUGUGACACGCACCCCUUAACAAAAAGAAUUAGUGUAUUUUUGAGCAAAAAUCCUGAUCGCCUCCUUGAAAGUUCCCUCAAGUCCCCCGAUUGCACCCCUUGAAAUUAUGAUUGAUAAAAAUUCGAAGUGAAUAUGUUGGAGAUGUGGCCGAAAUUAUUUUUGGGAGUUGGUUAUUGCAGCGGUAGGUAGUGUACAUAUGUAGAAGAUGAUGUUUUUUAGUUUUUUUUUUUUUUUUUGAACGGCUAAUUUCUUUAAUCCCCUGUUGUCAUACC